CCUACGGGAGGCAGCAGUGAGGAAUCUUUGUCAAUGGACGCAAGUCUGAACCAGCCAUGCCGCGUGCAGGAUGACGGCUCUCUGAGUUGUAAACUGCUUUUGUACGAGGGUAAACCCCGAUACGUGUAUCGUGUUGAAAGUAUCGUACGAAUAAGGAUCGGCUAACUCCGUGCCAGCAGCCGCGGUAAUACGGAGGAUCCGUGCGUUAUCCGGAUUUAUUGGGUUUAAAGGGUGCGUAGGCGGUUUGAUAAGUUAGAGGUGAAAUGUCGGGGCUCAACCCCGAAACUGCCUCUAAUACUGUUGGACUAGAGAAUAGUUGCGGUAGGCGGAAUGUAUGGUGUAGCGGUGAAAUGCUUAGAGAUCAUACAGAACACCGAUUGCGAAGGCAGCUUACCAAACUAUAUCUGACGUUGAGGCACGAAAGCGUGGGUAGCAAACAGGAUUAGAUACCCUUGUAGUC
rnacentral:rRNA from 1 species